UCAAUGAUGUAAUGACUACAUAAUUUAUAGUGUAGCCAAUCAGAACACAGCUGAUGCAACAAUGAACCCAUAGGAUUGUGAGUCAUAUCCAGAAUGUCAAGACUUGCCAAUUAGCAUAUGAACCUGGUCUGCCACACCACUAAGAACACUGACUCCCUGCAAGUUUGUGCAGUGUGCUGAACGGACCACAGAGCAGCGCAUGUUGACUGUAAGGUGGGGUUCCUACCUCUAGGAAAGAUCAAGUCAUUUUGAGUGGGGUAGGAGAAAUCAGUCAAUCCCUCAAAGAGAUAGCAGCAUAUGCCUUCAAUCCACAUCCUUGUUUCCAUGCAGUCACCACUUACUUUGCUGAAGGAAAACUUGCUGUUAAUGUAAAUGUAAGAAGUCUCCUCCCAAAGUGCCAGCUCCUGUAAUUCCACAUUACUUCAACCUGGCAACUUCAUCAACACAGAAUCAUCACAUAGAGCACGACUCGGCAUAUUUCCUCAUGUUGCUUAUGACUGAAACGAACAGAAGUUAAUGAAUAAUUAUUCUAAAACAAGAAUGAGGUGGGCAUUUGCCACAGUGAUUAUGAUGCCACUUGGGACACCCUCAUCCCAGAUUGGAAUGGCUGGGUUCAAGUCCUAGCUCUGUUUCUGAUUCCUGUUGAUGUACGCCGUUAUGUGAACAAGUAAUUGGGUCUCUGCCCAAAUGAAACCCAGAUGAAUUCCAGGCUCCUUCCUGGCUUUGACCUGGCCCAGUCCCUGUUGUUUGCAGGCAUUUAGCAAGCCAAUCAGUGUGUGCAAGAGAUCUCUUCGUAUGUCUGUCUGUCUCUGUCUCUCAAAUACAAUGAAAAUAAAAAAUGACUGAGACUAUU